UUAAACUUUGCUAACAAUAUGCGUGCACUUGCCAGAGAGGUGCAUUCAAUACUUCCCUACUUGAGGGGAUCGCAUAUACUAAAUUAAAAUGCAGUGAUCACAUAACAGAUUAUAAAUUGUUUUCUUAAUUUACACACACUGUACACCUGCUUUCCCAAAUCGGCAUUACCAUAUCACCGUAUAUCCAACCUUUAGGCGCAACAGGCAACCUACAAUUGGAGUGAUGGUUCAGUAAGAAAGAACAUUUAGCACAAAGAAAGAUGAAUUUUGAAAAAAAAAACUUGCAGUGAACACAGAAAAAAUCGAUGCUCGACUGACUACUAAUACCAUCUCAAAAUAUGCAAGAUGCAAGAUGCUUGACUGACUACUAAUACCAUCCAAAAAUCAAUGCUCAACUGACUACUAAUACCAUCUAAAAAUAAGAGGUCAAACCAAUCAAGUGAAAGACUUUUGAACUGGAAUUAGACACAUUGUACAUCAUCAAUCAUUAGGAGCUGGACCCCAUAGAAUCUUUUCGGCUUCGGUUGUAUGAUUAGAAUUUGGCUUCAAACUAACUAAACUAAAGAGUUUUUUUCCUUGUCCACUCUUUUGUUGCUAAAUUAUGAUCCAUAAAGUUAUAGUGCAUCUUGGAAAGGUUAUAAUAGUUUUGGUUACAGGGUUGAUGAUAUAUCUAUGGAUAUUAUGUUGACUGAUAGCCCAUGGUUCAUCUGAGCUCACUUUGGCGCGAAUGCGGUGAUGAAGGUUCGACCUGCAGUUUCAGAUUUCCCUUGACUCAUUCAGUGCAGCUUCCUUCGUGACGUAUGCCACAUGCUAAUAUCAACUUUCUCAUUGUAUAUAAAUUUUCAGGAGAAAAAAGGAAAAAGUUGAUACGGUUUUCCUUGCAGCUCAAUUUUCACACCCUUCCCAGGUUAAUAUUCACUGCUUUCUUUGGACCAACUUUAUGCUGCCUUUUCUCUGCACACACCUCAUCAAAACUGAACCAAGAGGCAUCACAUAGGUUUAGAUGGCGCGUGUGAACAUGGUUUAAGAUAUGAUAUUUCUUGGAGAGAGCAAACUAACCCUUUCAAUUUCACGAUCUAUUAACUAAAAUAUUGAUCGACGGCACAUUCUGAUGCUUCAACUUUGUUUUUGCCUUAUUGUCACUUAAUUAGGUAAUAUAGUAAGAAAGAAUACUGAAUGAGACUCGAAGGAAUUUUGAUGUCAACUCGUGAUUAGCAGAACUUAAAAUGAUCUCUUUAGACAAGUAUCAGAUUAAAGAAACCAAUAUAGAACCUUAUUAAAUAGGGACUUAGCUGGAAGGUGAGAAAGAAAUUACAAUUGCUAUUGGUGCAACAAUACAAAAUUUAGCUUAGCUAUCUAUCAGAUUUCUUGACUCAAAUUCCAGCUAGCAAAGACGAAGAUUGAAUCCCCAAAAAUCCAUGCUAAACCAAAUAUAGACUUGUUGAUUUACCUCAAUUGAAUUAUUUAUAAAACAUUAUACAUGAACUUGUUUUAAAUACAUGACAAAAUCUAGCUGAGCUAAACCUUCCUGGAAUCUUAUGUGGAUUUUUAGAGUUUAGACCAAGGAGAAAUGGGGAAAUAAUUCGGGACAGAGGGUAGUGCACACGGGAGCCUCAGAAUAGCGGGUAGCCUAGCGAUGUUUAUAGGAAAAAGGUGGCUUUUGUCUCAUCAGUGAGUUUGUUGCCCAAUGCCCGUGCUACUGAUAUAAUGUCGUUCAUGACAUACCUCGCCCAGUUCAAAUUCGGGAUGUCAUCCAAAUUUUAUGAGAGCCACAAAAUAUGUUGGAAGAAUAACUACGGAUCAAAUGGACCUCGAACUUUAUCUCACCGUGAACACCACAUCAAUCACAUUCUAACAGGAGGCCUCAGCCAUCGCCAAGGCAUCUCAUGGAACAUGGGGGAAACUCCAAAUCGAACAGAGCAACACAAAAAUAGGAAUCAGGCAUGAGGAAAGGGGAAUAAGCUAACCUGGGUAAUGGGAUCAGCAGGCCCAGGAGGGUGCCACCAUGCCAGUGGCCUCCACAAGAAUAAUCUUGCACACGAUGUCGCCUCAAGCAAUGGAUCGCCAACACCAGAACCGAAGCACUUGUUGUUCAUGGUUUCAGUUAUGAGAUAUCCCGUGAACUGAGGUACAAAUCACAAAUAGGUCAGCUCAUGAGCUAAAGAAUAUAAUCUUAUCCAAGAAAAGAUAAAAUAGUUCGCAGCAACAAAGCUUUAUUAAGUUCUUUACUAAGAAAGCUAACUUAGAAAUUACAGCCCAAACAGAGAAUAAAUGGUUUAGAACAGGCAUAAAUCUGAUCCAUCUUCCAUCAUCAAUAAUAAAAACAGGAAAUCUUGAAAUCCUUGAUCCAAACAUCAUAAGUCACAAAAGUCGAAGCAAACAGUGAACUGAAAAUUACUCUGAAAAAAACUUUUCUUUUGUUGACUCUAAACGAAGCCCAUGCCCUGUUACUCCAUUCUUUUGUUGACUCUAAAUGAAGCGUGAUUUAUAUGUUCGAUUACAGCCAUGACUUGGCGAUAUUCUAAAGAAUAUAACUAUAAGACCAGAGAUAGAAAACUAACAGAGAAUGCUGAGAAUAGAGAACACCUGUAAUAUAGUAAUGGUACAAAAAUUUGGUCGUAAGGUUGUGUGUGGCCGACAAGGGUGGCUCAGGGAGCGCACCAUGCAGCAGCGUGCGAGCGCUGCGGAAGAUGGGGAUGGGAGGGAGGCGUUUGCGUGCGCAUUUGGUGAUCAAAUGGCUCAGGAGGGGACCGAUCUUGGGAUAGGAUCAGUCAACCAACAUGUAGUAGUGACCUGACCGGAAAGGUAGGAUUUGCAUGAGCAGGUCAACAGAGAAUUAUAAUGUCAGCAUAUAGCAAUAAAACCAAUGAGCACUAUCAAGUUACCAAAAAGAGGGCGUUUACCGACAGCUUACCGUUAAUUUGCAGUCGUACCACUCAGUUAAAAUUAAGAAUAACCACACCUCAUUCAAUUAUGAUUCAAACAACAUGAACAAUUAUCCGUGAAGUUCAUUUCUAAACUACGCGCUUAUUAAGAUAGGUGUUUACCGGUAAUAGGGUAAAAUGAUACAUAAGUUUUAACUUCAGGAUAGGUAUUUACUGUAUUUUUCAGAGAUGGACAUGCGGGUCACCCCAUUAACUCAACAAGUAGAUAUAUUAGCUAGCUAUUGGUGUUCUCAGAAACCAUAAAUAGUUUAAACCGAAUUAUGUGUGCUUGUGCAGAUAGUAUAGAUGUAUGAUGGAUUCCUAGUUGCCGUGAUCAAUGAUCAAGGAGAUGCUUCUACAUGCAUACGCAUAGAACUAAGCAUUCAUUCUUCUCCUUGAUUCUAUUCUCCUGUUAAGCUCUCAAAUUUCUACACAUUUAUGAUAGAAAAAUGUGAUACUACAACUGCAGUUUAUAUUGCUGUAUUUAUAUGCUUCCAUACACAUGCUAUGAAGCACGAAACAUGACAAGGAAAAUACAAAGGAUAGCCUAAAGCAAAACAAUGGGGUUAACUAAAAUUUACCUAUUCUAAACUUGUUUCUUUCUGAACAGAGCAUCAACUCAAACCACAUAUAGCAGUGAAGCAACAAUGAUAUUUUCUCUAAAAAUCCAACACAGUGCCACAGACAGCACACAACACACUUAAGUACAAAAAAUCAUCAUUUUCCUUUGAAAGGGAGGGCGUUGGUUGGGUAAUGUGUACCAAAAAAUCAUGCCAAAUUUGAACGAAAGCCUGGGCAACCACUGAGACAUAAAGGAGUCAGAGGGGAGGUAAGGAGGAUUGGGAGUAGGUCAUCUAUGCAAGGAAGAUCACGGGGACCAAAAUCCUACAUGAGACUGAAAUGGAAAGGUUGCCCAAGGCAGACAAGAAUCAUCGGAAUCAUUUUCGAAUCUAAAAAUGGAAUAUAGACAGCAGUGACGAUAGUAGUAGAUGCAGAAUUAUGCUUAAGAGCACAACUGAAAUCUAUAUAACCGUCGUAUUCAUGUGCAGACAUAUCUUCAUCACAUCAUCGUUUUCCAAGUAUAGUUAAUAAGAAAUCCGAUUCACAUAUGUCCUGGUCAUCCCAUUUAUGCUGAAUAUAUUCAAGGCACUUCUGUAACAAUUUUUUUUAAAUACCCACUGUUAUCUAAUAUCUAGUAAACUGGGUACAAAAGACGGAGGCAAGAAGCCCAUGUUCUCUCAGAUCGAGUAUAUCCCUGUCCUGAAUGGUGUAUCCAAGGUUCCCCAUGUCAUGUUUAAGUACGAAUCACUUGUUUAUUGUGACAUGGACCACUGAUAUCUGAAAUAUAUGAAAAGACCCAUCAGGGCCCAGGAAAAAUAUGCCCUCCUAAAAGUAAAAGAAUGUCCCUGCUAUUUAAAAGAAGAUUGGCACUAAUAAGAGGCUAAGGAGAAGCAAAAUAAGCAAAGUAAAUGUCUGAAAAAUAAGAGGAGAGCAUCUUCGACAUUACCUAGAUACAUUCAGAAAAUCAAAAGCACCUGAACUAACAACUAAAACAGUGCCCUGAAAUAGAAUCCCAGACAUGAAGCUAUAAGCAUAAAUAACAACCAACGCAAAAUCAAAAGAAAUAAAAAUAUGUGCAUCACAAAAUACUAUUAGGAGAUCAGGUCUACUGUACAAAUAUGAGGCAGCUGCCAUACAAUCUCUAGAUGCGAAACAGCUGCAUUCAUAACUAUAUAUGCAUUAGCAAGAUAAAUCACUCUACCGAUUUGUAAGCAGCAAACCAGCUCAAAUGUAGUCAUCAUCAGUAACUCUUGCUUCGAUAAUAACAGCCAACCACCAUGUAUAUCCAUCCAUGAUACAUAAAGGGGGAGAAGUAAAUUACGUUGAAUGAGAAUUAAUUAAUUGCCACGCGGCUGCAGCUGCCAAACAUGCCACGGUUAAAUACAUGGAUUUUGUCAGGGAUCUGGGUACAUGAAAAUAGACAAAGUAACAAAUCAAUUAGAAGGAGCCAAAACAAGCAGAGGUGGUCAGUGAGAAUACCCGCAGGCGCCCCAACAGGCUAUAGACACCAUGUCACCGUGACAUGAGCCGAGACAUGGUGCCUAACAUGAGCCGAGACAGGCCGGCGAAACUGUAACAUGACGUGCAACAUGUAAGAAAGUAAGCAUCCAGGGAAGAUAGGCUGGCAGGCCAAGCAACUAAAUUAGAACACAUACACCCAUUUCUUGCACAGAGCAGUGCUUGUAAUCCCUUUAUUUAUUUUCAUUAACAAAGUGAGAAUGCAGGGUUAUUUUUUCAUUAAAAAAUGUGAGAAUGCAGGGCGGAGAAGGAUGAGGAAGCAACGAUAGAAAGCUCUAUUACCUCACACGGCCAUUCGAACUAAUCACCAGGAGACAAAAGAACAUAUUAGGCUCUAGGAAUUAACACAACCUCUAUUGCUUUGUUCAUACACACUCAAUUCUGAAAAAGGAAAACAUAAGCUUCAGGAGCAAACAAAUAGAAUAUGAAAACUGUAUAUAUAUACAGAGAAAACAAAAAUAGGAACGCAAACUGUCAUAUUACUCCCAGGUGUGAAGAGCCAAAGCUAUUUUCAAGCAGUAUUAUAAGCUAGCUCUAGAUUUUACUCCAUAGUAAACAGAAUAGUUUUGUAAGGUAGCUCUAGAUUUUAUACGAUUCAAAAAAGCAGCAGAUGGACACAUGAUUGUACAACUGAUGCAUAGUCACCCUCUUCUUGGAAUAGCCCACGGCUUAUACAUAUAGAUGAAAAUUUCAUCCAAACAUGCCAGUGUUUUUAGGCCAUUAAAUGGAAAGUGAUGCAUUUUUUGUUUGUCAAGUCCCUAUUGACCCACAGGGCAAACAGUGGUGUUUUACCAGGCCAACUAUUUUCAAAAUUUCACUAAACAGAACCCAACACCCAAAAGUAAUAGAGGGACGUUCUCCUCAUUAGCAUACAGACUGCACAGAGGUGAGCUAUAUGGACUCUACAACCAGCAGCAAGUGCAAGAUGUGUAGUGUGUAUGCCUAGUUGCCUACCAAGUUCUACUUCAUUCUACUGGUCAGAACUCUCUAAGGCGUCCGCCUUGCCUUAUGCCUUACCGCUUAGGCGGUGAGGCGCCCCCCCCAGCGCCUUGCCUCGCCUUACUGCCUUAAAAACAUAGCUCAUCAGUUACCUACGCCAUCUCACAACGCCAAAAACAUCCAUUCAUGGCAGAGAAUAUAUCAUCCACCACCGCAACGGAAAAGGAAACAUAAACGAAUUAAAUGAACAUGUAAAGACAAUAAAAGAAAAUUGUGCUUAAAAAGAACCAGGUCCAUACGCCUUGAGAUGGUUCAACAAAGCAGUAGCAUGGCAAGGAUCAAGAUAGAACUUCAUGUCACGCUAUGGUCAUGCAUUACUGAAACGAAAAAAGGGACGUUGAAGAUAGCUGACCUCAAUGCAUAUUUUUUUGCUGAGGGGGGCAAGACUGCUACCAGAUUUUGUUUCAGAUUUCAGGUUUAACCAUCCACAAAAGUAAUUAGUAGUCUUAAGGUUCAGUUGCAAGCUCAAAGCUGUAAUCACCACAAGAUUGAGUGUAUGUAUAGCAGCUUAGUAAAGACAAACUGAGUAUAUGUAUAGCAGCUUAGUAAGGCAAAAUUACAAACAUACAUAGGUUGAUCAUGCAACGGAUAUGCCAAAAAAGAUUGGCUUGUACAUGAAUUAAUGGAUAUAUACAGGUUGAGUACUUCAGUUGCCUACAAACACAUAAAAUGGACAAUGAAUAUUUGCCUACUACAGCAAAACCUCAUCUCUAUUUGCCUGCAUAUUGUGUUGGUUGCCUACAAACCAAAAAUCGAACCGCAGGGAUUCUGUAUAGUUGACACAAACAAAAUGCCUAAACUGCUUUUCUCAAGAUCCCGUGACUGAAGGUCGUGGGUACCAAAUUGUAAUAUAUGAGCAUUAGUACCUCUUAGGUAGCACAGAAAUUCGUUGGAACUUCAACAAGAGCGGAACGGAGGCGAAUACACGGGCACAUAAAUUAGACAAAUAAAUGAAAGAUAAAAAUAGCUUUUCUGAAUAAUGUAGAGGCCCAGCCACUUGUUGUUGAUCUUGCAAGAUGUGUUGGGAUCCCACAAGAAUCAAAUGCCUCAGGAAUCUCCUCCCUGCAUGAUCCAGUGCCAACAAAAUUCUGAGAUGAUGAACACAAGAGGGAAACAAAAAGGCGGCGGCCGUACUGUGGAGUGCAGCGGCCGCAGAUGGAUCGAGGACCUGGUGGUUGGAUGGAUGACGAGGAUGCCAACGACGGAUGACCUCAAGGCCAACCAACGGCUCCGGCGUCAGCCAUGGCGGCCCGGACACCAAGGACAAGGGCGUCCUCCUCCCCAACCACCACUUUUCCUCAGGGGCCCUGCCCCUCCGCAAGCACCAUGAAGACAUGCCUGCUCUGAUCUCCCACGAAUCAAGAGAUGAGCUCAGGUUACAAUGCAAAGAUGAGUAAACGAUGAAGAAAAAGCUCACUUGUGCCAAAACUGACCUGCAGUUCGUAGACGCGGUAGAGACGCGAUGGUUUCCCCGUCAGCCAGCCGCCCACACGCGCCCCCUUCAUCUCUUCUCCCUAUCGAGCCCGCGGCGCGCGUCUUUCCCGUCGGUCCACUUGCUGGCCACGCGUGCGGCUCCCUCUGCCCCGAUGUGGGUGGUUGAAGCUCGCCAACGGGCGUCCCCGGACCUUCUUGGGCGGCGGCUUCCUCCGGGUUGCGUGGUCGUCGGACAGAGAGGAGGGAGGCGGAAUGGCGGCGGCGGCGGCUCCAAGUGCCAGUCCACCCCUGGUGGGGAUCUGCUUGGCACCCCAGGGACACGAUUGACCUCCUCCUCUUUCCCUGCAGUAUUCUUCUCAGGCCGCUGCACCUCCCUCUCCUCUGUCCUCUCUUUGUCCCUCCUCCCCUUCCUUCACUCUUCCUCAUCUUCUAUCUCCCGGCCGCCGUCGCCGUCAAGACCACCGCUCUUGCCGCGUCUUCAGCUUGCUGCACGAUUUGCGACGAGGUGCGCGCCGGCUCGCGCGGUUGCUGCUCCUCUGCUCCUGCUGAGUCUGGAUCGAGGCCGCUCUCCUCGGCUCGAGCUCCUCCCCGGGCUCCCUUUCUCCUUCCCUUCACCGACGGGAUCCCUUUCUCCUUUCCCUGUCCUUCCAUGGUGUCGUUGAUGGCGAGUGGACGGGGAAGAGAAGGAAGGCGAGGUGGAAGGGAGGCUGCGGCGGCGACCACGGGCUACCAGGCAGGGAGGGGCGGCGGAAGAGGGGAGAGGAGAAUGGGUGGGGCGUGGGGCUCGAGGCAGGAAGGGGAUUGGGGGCUAGGUUUUCACCUCGCUCUCGGGUUCUCCCACCGUCGUGGCACAACUCACAUACACGCGCGCCGUGACUGAAAUGUUGGGCCCGUGUGCAACGAUGGCCCAGUCGUCAUGCACUGAAACUUGAAGCCACAAUGUAAAGUAAAACCUACGGCCAGAUCUUUGAGAAAGAGGUAAAAAGGAGCAGAAUUUUGACAGCGAGGUGAAUCGUGUGAACCGGAUCCAUCGCGCGAUGCAAGUGCGCUAGAACGGCGGGUAACGUAGGAGGCUUUAUAUGUUAGAUUAUCAUAGAUCUAAUCACGUGUCUUCUGUUCAUCUUAUGCACAUAUGAAUCGUCCGUUCCGGAUCGCGAAUGAAUUCAUGGAGAUGAGGACAUUGAGACACCGAUUGCUACCCCAUGCAAGAAUCGGGAGAAUUCUUCAACGGAGAUGGCAUAAAUACCGGGGACGACUUUGGCAGGUAUGGGCAUGGCAUCGAUUCCAGCCCCUGAUGGUCGAAACCUUCGGCCGGCGAUCACCGCGCAUCAGCGGAUUUGGACACAGCGCACUCCAGUGGGCUCGGUGAUGCACGGCGCCCUCCGGUGCAGCGCGACCAUUGACCCUGGCAAGGUCGUCGGCACCGGCACAUGUGGCUGGCCGCGUGUUUCUCACAUGCAUACUGCGAGGCGGCGGUGGCCAUCAACUGGCACGCGACGCCGCAGCCCUCCACCGGCGGGGAGGCGGUGCCCAGUGCGCUUGCAGCCCUCGGUUCUGACGCGGCCUCGACCCCGCGGCGUCCCGUUCGCCGUGAGGUGAAGUGCUCAGACGGCGCGGCCUCGGCCGGCGUCUGGAGACAACCAAACCAAGGAGGAGGCGGCUGUGGCCCACGGCUCCGAUGUGGAGACAGCGGCCAGCGACCAUAGCGCGUCGUUCCCAACCGUUCGCGGCGCAGCGCGCAGCACGCAGCUCUCCUCCGGCGCGGCUCGCAGCCCGAUGGCACAAGCGGCCAGCGGCCGAUGCGGUUCUCUCCGCUCGGCCAUGGCGCAGCGGGCUCAUUCUCGCGGGGCGCACCGGCUACGCUCCCCGGUCUCAACCUCGAGGCGCAAAGGCGAUACUGCCUCCGGCAGGCCAGUGCACGGCGCGAGCACAUCUCGGCCAACGACCGGCGUUUGGAGUGACUGCUCCAUCCUGCAUGGCCGCAGCGGCAGCGUGACCCCUCCGGCAUCGCCCGCAGCAUCUUCCCCGGCUUCCACCGGCUCACCACGGCCGGAGCAAUGACCCGGCGCCAACGUACUCUACGUACCGGCGGUGUAGUGGUGUACAAAGCCAAAACGAAUCUUUGAUUCGUAACCACACAGAGAAAGCCGAUGGUGCUUAUCUCUUCGUUGUUUUUCAGUUUUCCCAUCAAGAUAUUACUGUACAACGGCAUUGUUUUGCGAUUGAAAUUAAGUUUUCUCGCACAACAGUACUGAUUUGCGAUUGAAAAUUUUCUUUUCUCGCAAAACAAUUUCAUUGCGAUUGAGAUUAAUUUUCUCUCGCAAAAUAUUAAUUCACUUUGCUGAAUUAUCUUGCAACUUGAUACAACAUCAUCUCAUUUAAUUUGAGGUCUAUAUAAUUCAAGUUGUUCACCUGAACAUCAAGAUUGCACCAUCAUUACUAUUCAUUAUGAUAGUGGUGUAUUUCUGUUGAGUACGAUGUAUUUCGGAAUGUAUGUAUCUUCAUGUUCGCUACAUGUCGAGAUUAAUACGUCUAUUUGCAAUUGAGAUUUUUAAUUUCUUGCAAAUAAGAAUGCAAAAUUCAAAGUGAUUUCUUCAAAUUGAUGUAUUGGGAUCACAGGGUAGUCAUAUAGAUCCAAUGUCUUCAUAGAUUAUCAAUGACUACUGUUGAAGUCUAUAUUUUGUCAUUUUGACAUUAUAAUUGCUUUACAAAGUGCUCUCCAACACAUUUUAUUAAGUCAUGACAUAAGACAUUAUGAGUGAGUAUCUACUAAUUUCAUCAGAUUAUACUCUCUAGUGUUGCGAGAUCUACUCCAUUUUGAAGAUUAUCUUCAAGGUGUCAUAUUUAGCAAUUUGAGGUUCACGCUAAUGGUUUCAAAAUAACUUCUCGAAAUACUCAUUGAUUUUGCUAAGUUCAUUACAACAUCAACCAUGAUGGUCCUUAAUUUACUGGUUGUAAAUUAAUUAUCUUUGGUUUACCCAUAGCGGUAAAAUAUGGCUAUAGAAUUUGAGGCAUUCGCUCUCAAUGGACACCACUGCCCUAUCUGGGCCAUGGACAUCAUGACCGCUCUUGUAUCCCGUGGGAUAAUGCCUCUGGUCAGGAUCACACCGCUAACAGAAAAAUGGUGUCUUAUAUAUCAUAAGGCAUUAGAUUCAGAUCUCGACAUCUGAUUAUUCUAUAUCAGCAAUUUCUGGGAUACAAUGAACCUCAAGGGCAAAAGUUUGAAUCUUACUUCAACCUUCAAUCCGACAUCACCAGCUGUGACGGGACCCUAUGAGCAUGGAGAAUGUGAUGGUUGAAUAUGCCUCAACCGACAUGUUUGGAGACUAUGAAUAGUCUUUCAAUCUCCUGAGUGGUCAAUAUAAUUAAUGUACAUUUAUGAUGUUGUAACAACAACAUAAGUAUUGUUGUCAUCGUCAUAUAUUGUAUAUCACAAUAUAUUGUAUCAGCACUUUGGUACAAAUACAUUUGUAUGUCUAUAUAUCUGACAGUGAUUUUCAUAUUGAGAAUCUUCAUGUCUAUAUAUAAAUUUCUAUGGGAGUCAAUCCGAUGAAAAAUGAUAUGUGCCUUGUGGACAUAUGCACCACAAACUCUAUACUCAGGGAAGUUUAAUGUUUCCACUCUCAUUGAGAGAAAGGAGAUAUUUUAAAAUCGCUAGACGCGAUGAGGUAUUUGUUGGCUCAACUCGAGUCAUAUUUACUAUCCCUGUGGGUACUCGAGUAACGUCGGGAUGCUUUAUGCUUCUCAGGUUUCACUCGUACCCUACUAAACUAUGGAGGUAUCUGUCAAAAUAGUUUCCAUAGCGAAACUUAUGAUGACAACAAAGAGGAAUAACUUCUCUUUACCAUAUGCAAUGGAUAUGGCAAGCACAUUCUAUGCGUAUCAUCUGGAUUGUACUACACAUAUGACACAACCCGUAGCACAUGUUGUGUACAAGAUAGUUUUCCAGAGUGUCUUGUACAUGACAAACUUGGCAUACUCGCCUUGGUCAUCGAGACAUUGGGUUGAAACCAAAACUAUCAGCAAUUCCAUUGGUUUAUGAUUAUUAUGAUGCUAAAUUCUAACAAUAUUUGGAUUUUGUGUGCACUGCAUAUGACACAGGGAAGCUAAUUUUAAGGAUUGUGCACCUUAAAGUUUACGCUGAACCACUCAGACUCCUUGAAUGCAUCAAGUCGAGGUAAGUGGUUUUUCCCAACCAUUGACUAGACUAUUCAGGUAUCCAUGGUUUUUCCAAAGACACAUCUACAUGAUGGUCUCAAGUGUGCUUUAUUCACACGAAACCAUUGACUCAUUAUCCCGACAUCGAUUUCAAGCAAAUCGAAUGGAUAGCAUUUGCAGAAUUCUCCUUGAGUGCCUUUUUCUAUGGCCCUCGGAUUGAAGUUUAGCAAUUUGUCCUAAUGUCUAGACUCAAAAUGGUUUGGUAGAAUCCCAUCCAAAGAAUUGAGCUCAUUGCAUGAUCUUUACUUUGAAAUUGCAACUUACCAACUUUACGUUGGAGUCAUGAAGUUUUACACGCUCAUGACCAAACUGCAUAAUUUUAUUCCCCUCUAUCUUUGAUACGUGGAAAUCUACCAAGUAUUUCCUAUCUGCAGUAAUUCGGUUACACACCGAUAUCAUCACCCCGACAUACAUCAUUGGCCCCUCAACAUAUAGUUGGGAUCUAUGUGAGGAAUAACUGUAUUACCGUCAAUACCUCAAGCCCCUCACAUGGGGAGUUAUUCAAGGCUAGUAUGUUGAUUCAAUGAGGAAUAUUUCCAGGCAUUAGGGGGAGAAUUCAAGUACCAUAAAGAAUGCCAGGAAAUUAGUGGAAUGUUCAACACAUUUCUGCCUCAUAUCCACGUAAUCAAAGAGCUGAACCAUGUGUUCAGAAGAUUUGCAACAUAUUGCAAAUAACCUGCCAGAUUCAUUUACUGACUAUAAAGGUGUCACACAAUCCUACAACCCUGCAAAGUAUGCCUGAAAGAGUGGAGGUACCAACAAAAUCCACUCCACUCCCCGUUCAAAGCAACAGGGGGAGAUGUAUGGCAUAAGUACAUCAGGAUUCAGCUUCUCGCAAGCAAGGAUAUCAAGGCCUGUGAAUCAGUAAAUGCAAGUCAACUUCACGUUGGCAGACACCUAAUGGGUAGUAUACACCCAGUGGACGGGAAACCUCCACCAACCCAGGUCAUAGUGCACACAAUGACCGGGAUAUUGGAAUACCCGACUUAGCCGCAUUGGGAAAUCGCAAGCAGUCACCUUGGGUAACGAUAUUUCCAUCAACUCUAUAUUGAUAUAUAGAUUCUGGAGAAACAUAUAACCGGAAGUCUGCAAUUGUCGACAUACAUUUCUCAACUAGAUUGCAAAACCUUUCACAUGAUUCAGGUCCAAAGACCAUGGCCAUGGCAAAGUGUGAACAACACUCGGACUGAACUCAAGCAAAGGGUAUAAUCUAGGUAGAAAUGAUCUUGCUCAAUAAUGGAAAGAUAUUCAUAAGCAAUACCUACACCAGUUUUCUUCUGGAAAUAGAAUUGAGAACAACGAGGUGGUGAAACAAAGAGCAAGUAUUGUAGCAGAAGGGUUCACGCAGAUAGCCAACUAUUCUCCAGAGAUGGAAUCUCUUUCCGAUAACUUAUUUCAUUAGCAGUACAAAAUCAUCUAUCACUGCAGUUGAUAGAUGUAGUGAUUACAUAUCCAGGUGGAUCACUAGAUUCAGACAUAUAUGAUUGUUUCCCGAUGGAAUCUCAAUUCUGAAUCGAAAUACAAAAUGCAACAUACAUUGUGUAAAAUUAGUAAGUCACCAUACGACUUAUUGUUGUCAGUACAUAUGGUACAACUGACGUAGUGAGAUCCUUAUGCACAAGGGUUACUCCUACAACGAUGAUUAUCCAUGCUUGUGUGUCUGCAAUGAUGACACAUGUAAUCAUCUAAAUGAUGGAGUUUAAAAUGAAGGAUUUGGGUAAACCAAAAUACCGCUCGUUACUACAACUUGAGCACCUUCAUUCAUACAUUAUGGUUUACUAUGUUAUCUAUAUCCAAAAUAUAUUGGAGAAUUUCAUUGUGGACAAAUCUUAUCCAUCCAUAACUCUCAUGGUAGUUCAUUCUCUAGACGCAGAGAAAUAUCGAUUUAGACCAAGAGAUGAUGGAAAUGAGAUAUUGGGACUCAACGUUCCAUAAGCCAUUGGAUCCACCAAACACGAUUGGUUGGUACUCAAGAAUAUCUUUCGAUAUCUCCAAGGCAUCAAACAUUUUGUCCUGGUUUUUCAGUUUCAUAGAAAUGUGAACACCGAUAUCAUUGGAUACAUCGAUCAGAUCCCCACUAUGUCAGAUCGUAGACAAGCUUAGUGUUCCUACUAGGUGUGGUAGCCCUCUCAUGAAGAGUCUUCGAAACAGACAUCAUGGCUACAUCCACCAACCAUUAUCUCAAAGAUAAUUUUGCUUGUGUUGCCCGGAUGCAAACAUGUUACAUAAUAAGCAAUAUCACUAUAUUGCAUAUCUUGCAAGUCAAAUCAUGUGACUGAUUUGUUCACCAAGUCUCUACCAACUUCUACAUUCCGAAAAUAUGUUCAUGGAAUUGGUAUAUGACGGCUUCGGAAUUUGCAAGAAUCAGGGGGAGUAUCUUCCUGAAUUGUUCCUGUUAAAAGCAUCAUAUUAUACUCUUUUUCCCUUCAUGAGUUUACUUUAUAGGUUCUCAUGAAGGUUUUUAAUGAGAUAAUAUCAACACAAGACCAUAUGUCAUAUUUUCUGUUUUCCCCACCGGUUUUUUUAAGAAAGUAUAUAAGACAUAUUUAUUGUCCUUUAAUUCUAUGGGUUUUUCUCAUAUUGAGUUAAACAGACAAUAAUCAUUAUAUGUUGCAUCAUUUUCUCCUUAUUUUUCCUACUGGGUUUGAACGAGUUUUUGGCAACAUAUCAAACACCUCUAUCCUCAUUUUUCCCACAGGGUUUUGGAGGAAACUUUAUCAAGAUGAUGUCUGCUCACAAGAUCAAGCAUUGAUUAGGGGGAGUGUUAGAAUUAAUUAACCAUGUGUUAAUUAUGGGAUUAAUCCAUGCUUGUACUAACCGCAGGCAGUUGUAAACUGCCGCGUUGGUUCCUGCCAAACAUGCACCUCCUCUGAACAGAUACCUUUUCCAAUGGUGUCCUUUCCCUUGUAUAAAUAGCAGAUGCCAUCUAGUAAAGAAGAUAGUUGAUUCAUUUUUCCUCUCAACAGUAAGCAACGCAUUAGUGUUUUCUAAAAACUGCCAACACAAUGUUGGCGGUUUUUUGAAGAAAAAAAACGAAAAGUGGUGUUUUUUUGAUUUAGGGUCCCCAAUUGUGGUGGUUUUUCGCAAUUUACUCCAUAUAUGCGGGUGGGACAGAGACAUCUCCUUGGUAUGGAUCACGUCAGAGCUGCCGAUGAAACCAAAGGUGAUGAGGAAGCUGCAAGGCAAAAUCACGGCGGCGUUCUGCGGCAAGGAAUUCAUCACUGAGAUUGAUCUUGGGAUGAGCGGAAGCUACAUCAAGUACCUCGACUUGGUCAUCAAGGAGAUGUUCAAGCUGUACGCAGCAGCUACCAUCUUGGUCCCUUCAGAGCAGGGCCGGUCUCGAGAUUUCAGGAGCCCGAGGCGAAACUACAAUCUGAGACCCUUAGUAUAAAUGUCUAACUAUUAAUCAUCAUUUUUAGAUAUAAUUUUAUCAAAGAAAACAAUUAAGUGCAUCAAAAAUCCGUGUGCAUAUCAUCCAAAAUCAGAUGUGUUGUCCACUACCUGAUUGACAUUUCAGGCCCCAAAUGCAUUCUUGCAUUUAUCGGAGUUGAAAAGCUUAAAGCAAAAACAGAACAACUUUUUGCGUGUUUUGAAAAAACUAACCAUCUCCUAUCACACACCUCUCCAUUGCUCAUUUUUCUUGAGUGUUUUAGCGUUUUUAAAAAAUAUCGUGAAUUUUCAUCAAACGGAUAUUUAGUGUUUUAUUUUUUCCCUUUUAGGCCCCUUUUCCACUAAUAUGUCCCUGUCUUUGUUAUCAAGACUACCCCAAUUGGUUGGAUCAUAAAUAUCAAUAGUAAUAACCGGUUCCUCAUCAACACUAGCAGAUUGUCGUAGAUGAGUUAAAUAUGGGCUCAUGAUCACUCACAUUGUUAUCAUCCAUGUUGAGGUUAACAUUUUCUUCUGUAAGAGUAUGACCAUCAUCUUUCUGAUUGACAUUAGUCUGGUCAUCGGCCAGAACUAUCACCAACUCUUCUGGAUUUCUUGAAGUGUAAAUAUUUCUCUUAUAAUAUUUAAAAAGGGAUCCUCUCAAUGCUUCUUUCUUCUCAUCUGCCUCAUUCUUCCUUUUUCCUUUAUCAUCACUUCCGAAUGGAUACUUUCUACCUGAACUUGAGAUGACCCUGAUGAAAUUGAAAGGAACAAAUAGUUAUUAGAAUUAACCCAAAGCUAAUUAAAAUAUUAGAUUUAAGUACGGAAGAUCAUCUAAUAUGAUGACAAAAUCUGCUAGGGCAUAGUAAUUAGUAUACUAUCUUCUCUCUGUAAUCUAAUCUGCCUAUGUGUGUGCAAUGAUUCGAGCGUCCUAUCAACAAUUCCCUGUUAACCUGUUUGACCGAUCGAGAAUUUGCAAAUCAGGAUUAGAAAGAAAAAAAAUAGGGAGAAGAACAGGCGAGGGAAGAGGGCGCGACGAGAAGUACCUGCCACCGCAGUGAGGGAUGCAGAGUUGAAGCGGAACAGGCAAAAGGUCAGGGAAGGACCGAAUGAUCCGAAGUUACGGGAGGAAAUCGUGAUUAGUUUCUUUUAGACAAAGAAAAUCGUGAUUAUUUUUUUUCAGAGAAAGGAAAUCGUGAUUAGUGAAUCGAACGAUUUGAUUCCUUUCUUUUGAGGAGAGAAAGAUUUGAUUCCUGCCCAGUCUCCACGUACUUACGUGCAAACAUGGGCUAGGCCCAUCGUAUCUAUUUUUACUUCCUAGGCAUAGCACGCAAGAGGCUGAGCUGCUGGGGAGCUCAUAGUCAGCGCUGCAGGCGCCCGUUAACGAGCUGGCGCCUGCAGUGUCGCUGGCAUGGGCCGGCCCAACGCUCGUUUGCAGUGGGAGUUGUUCGCUUUUGAAGUAAAAAAGCAAUAAAACCUGGGACGUGGAGUUUCUACACCCAGGAGCAAAUGCUCCUGGUGUGAACAGUAAAAUAUAAAAAAUUCAAAAAAAUGUCAAAAAAUUCUGAUUUUUUUGUGGCAUACUUAUACAAAUGUUUGUUGUGCACGUACAUCGUGAAAUCACAUUGGUAGAAGGUGUGGUAAAAUAAACAAAAUCGAUGCUCUGAAAAUGUUACUUACAAAAGAAUUUUAGAGCUCUGAUUUUGUUUUUUUCGGCACGACUUCCACGAAUGUGAUUUCGUGAUGAAAAUUUUCAUGCACAAGAAACACUUGUGAAAGUAUGUCACAAAAAAAUUCUGAAUUUUCUGAUUUUUUUUCAUUUUACUGUUCACACUAGGAGCAUUUGCUCCUGGGUGUAGAAUGGUACUUUUUCAUAAAACCUGAGGAUAGCUGGGGAUUCGAACUCUGGAUCGCUUUGUUGCAAGUGCACCACACUAACCACCAGAACAAACUAACUUUGUUGUCUUCUAUAAGAAAACAAUUCUAGUUAACCUUUUCGUGAAGUAAAACAUUAAUAUAUACUCAACAUAAAUUAUCUCAAAAAAGAAAACGUAAUUUCGAAAAAAAGUUCAUCAAAUUUUAAGCAAAAGUUCAAAAAAAUGAAAAAGGUUCAUCGAUUUUCAAGAAAAAGUUCAUUGAAUUCGAAAAAAGUUCACCAAAUUCGAUGAAAAGUUCAUCGGAUUCGAAAAAAGUUCAUCGAAUUCAAAAAAAAGUUCAUUAGAUUCAAAAAAAGUUCAUCGGUUUUGAAAAAAGUUCAUCAAAUUCGAAAAAAGUUCAUCGCAUUUAGAAAAAAUUCAUCGAAUUUGAAAAAAGUUCAUGUAAUAUGAAAAAAGUUCAUCAAAUUUUAAAAAGUUCAUCGAAUUCAGAAAAAGUUCGCCAAAUUUGAAAAAAGUUCGUGUAAUCUGGAAAAAGUUCAUCGAUUUUAAAAGAAUUGUUCAUCGAAUUUGAAAAAAGUUCUUGUAAUCUGGAAAAAGUUCAUCGAAAUCAGAAAAAGUUCAUCAAAUUUGAAUAAAGUUCAUGUAAUCUGAAAAAGUACAAUGAUUUAAAAAAACAUGACAUUCUUUAAAAAAAUCACGCAUUAAAAAAGCAAAGAAAGAAAGAAAAAAGGGGAAAACGAAUAAAACCGUCAAGAAUUCGCGAACCAGAAAAAACAAAAUAAAAAGAAAGAGCGACUUAACUUAGCACACAACAAGCGCGAUGUCGUAGUGGUUAGGAAAUGCCGAGCUGCUGCCUGCUGAGCGCUGCCGCUGACUCAAAUUUUCUUUCUCGCUCGAAGACGGAAGACCUGGGAGGGGGCCCCUACCUUUUGGGGGCCCGGGGCGGCCGCCCCGCUCGCCCUGCCCCAGGUCCGGCCCUGCUUCUGAGAGCACCAAGGCCUGCGAGAUCAACGGGGACGUGCUGCCAACCAAGACGAGGGUGAUCAUAAACUCCUGGGCCAUCACGUGGGACCCCUAGUACUGGGACGACGCUGAGGAGUUCAGGCCGAAGAGGUUCAAGAAGCUCGCAUGGACUUUCAUGGCGUCUACUUUGGGUACACGCCUUUCGGGGCCUCCAGGAUCAGUAGGUAUGUGAUGCUAGCAAGACGAGGGUGAUCAUAAAUUCCUGGGUAAUCAUGUUCGACACCAAGUCCGAACGACGCCGAGGAGUUCACGCCCGGAGAGGUUCAAGGGAGCUCGCAUGGACUUCCAUGGUGUAUUCUUCGGGUACACACUGCAGAGCAAGGAUGGCAUGUACCUGAAGCACGAGUGUAUGAUGGGCUGAUGGCCCAGCAGUUUAUGAUCACACUCAUCUUGCCUGGCAUCACGUACUCAUUAAUCUUGCAGGCCCCAAGCAGCGUGUACCCGAAGCAGAAUUGACCAAAAUUGCUCCAAAAUCUCAAUUUCAAUCUAUGUAUUGCCAUGUACAAAGUUUCCCCAAGCAGAGCGUAGGCGCCAAAGAAGAACGAGAAGAAGCCCCAAAAAAGCAAAAAGGAACACAGCAGAGCAUAGAACACCACACAGCAGAAGUAAAUGAUCUCAGUCUGAAAAAGUGUGAGAAAGGAACUAUUUACCUGAUACGAAAAAAGAUAAUUCCCUAUUGCAAUAAAAGAAGUUAUUGGGGCAAUACAGGAGUUUAUGGUAACCUCAUAUAAUCAUGUGAAAAUCUCAAAGCAUCUUUGCUUGAUAUACUCUUCAGGUGAUUUGCCAAAAUUAGGUGCGCCAUUAUGCUUGGCAAACUCAACAAUCCGCUUUCUAUAGUUCAUUACCUACUACGGUGUUUGGCAAACAGAAAAUAAUAUGUAGUUGAGGGCACAAGUGUACGUCAAAGGGGAUCAUAAGCCAAAGUAUGUUUAAUAAAUCACCACAGAAAAGCACUAACCUGAGUGUGCAAACAGAAUUGUUGGCGAUUGGAAUGGGCUUCGAUGAAGAACAUUUCUGAUCGACAAUUUUAGAUCACCAGGCAACCUACCCUUCUUAGGGAAAAGUGGCCACGAGAAAUCACAAAUUACUUAUAGCUUCCUCCAGGCCCCUGACAUAAAUACAACACCAAAAGCAGUGAUAAAUGCUUCCCCCUUGAAGUAGUAAGGACAACUUACCAUAUCUAUAAACUUUCUUCUCUUAAGCUCAUCUCCAACAUAAAUUCUCUGAAAACAAAUACACCAAAGAUGGAUUUUUACCUUUUUUGGAACUUUAGCACUCCAAAUCUUCAGCCAACCAUUGUGUACUUCUACAGAAGAAGAUGUUCCACCUUUUUUUAUCCAUGUUAAUAAUGAGAUCUUCUUGUCUUUUCAGCUUGAACACGGAAGGCCUUGUAUGCUUGUAGCAGCUUGGCAGUGACGCAGCUCGGGUGCGGACGCGGAAGGCCUCGACGCCACAUUUGGGCAUCAUGCACACCUCCAAGCACUCAUCCUCGUCGAGCCCCACCAGCGGCUCCAUGGCGUAGAUUGUAUGAUCUACUAUUGUUUCUUUUCGCAUGACCAAUUCAGUGUACAACGCUCCUAUAGAUCGGGGUCUCCUUCCACGGCGAGAAGGGCUGCCUUGAGGGCCUGGACUUUGUUAGAAUAGGCCAGCGACUUGGCCCUCCGCCGGCCUAGAUCGGACAUGAUGAGGAUGAUGGACGCAACCCUGCUUCGUGCUACUGUAGAUUUUGUUGGGAAAAUGCAAUGCAUCCCACUUCAGAUGGUUCAUUUCGCUCUAUAAUAGAUGGCCCAAUAUGAUUGAAUUGAUUAAUUAGCACUUAGCAGUCACUAAAUCAUGAAAAAUAACAUUGUUCUUAAUCGAUAAGAAUAGAAGAGAAUUACUAACCUUCAUAUUAGAAUUGAUGAAGCGUUUCUACUCUCCCGAAGGAGAGCCGCGUAUGUAUAUUUAUUGAGGCAGAAAUCCUUGCCGUAGAGUACAAGAGAAUGGGAGACCGAACCGGUCAUUACAUCGAGGGAGAGAUAGAUACAGAUACGAGGGAGGAUAGUUAAGAUUACAUUGCGUGAAUAACUUAAACUCUAACACCCUCCCUUAAUCUAAACUAUCCUAUGUUGAGAUUUCUCUUGAAUUCUUCAAAAGGCUUGACCGGCAAGGCUUUAGUGAACCCAUCUGCUAUUUGAUCCUUGGAUGGAAUAAACCUUAUAUCCAGCUUCUUCUCUGCCACUCUUUCUCGAACAAAAUGAAAAUCAAUUUCAAUGUGUUUGGUUCUACCAUGAAACACUGGAUUAGCAGAAAGAUAGGUGGCUCCCAAAUUAUCACACCAUAAACAUGAAACACGAUGUUGCUUAAUUCCCAACUCCUUGAGUAGCGAUUCUACCCAAAUUAUUUCAGCAGUUGCAUUAGCCAAUGAUUUGUAUUCAGCUUCGGUACUUGAUCUUGACACUGUGGCUUGUUUUCUGGCACUCCAAGAAAUGAGGUUUGACCCAAAAAAUACUGCAAAUCCUCCGGUUGACUUUCUGUCAUCACUACAUCCUGCCCAGUCAGCAUCAGAGAAAGCACUGACAAGUGUAGAACUGGAACACCUGAACUGAAGUCCCAAGUUCACAGUGUGUUUGAUAUAUCUUACAAUCCUUUUGACAGAUGUCCAAUGAGUGGAGGUAGGAGCAUGCAGAUAUUGACAAACCUUGUUUAUAGCAAAUGAUAUGUCUGGCCGUGUCAAAGUCAAGUACUGUAGGGCUCCAACAACACUUCUAUAUUUUGUACUCUCCUCUUCAUUAAGUGGUUCUCCCUCAUAUGCUGAAAGUUGUUCUGAAGAAGACAAUGGUGUAGGUGAAGGUUUGCAAUCCUUCAUUCCCUUACGAGUUAGAAGUUCAGUGGCAUAUUUUUCUUGAUUCAGCACUAUGCCGUCUUGAACCUUCUUAACUUCAAUGCCUAGGAAGAAGUGAAGAUCACCAAGAUCCUUCAAGGCAAACUCUGAGCUCAGAUCGUGCAAAAGAGCAUUAGUGGCACUUUGUGAGGAGCUAGCAACUAUGAUGUCAUCAACAUAUAUCAGCACAAAAAUGACAGUAUUUGCCUUGUUGUAAAUGAAGAGAGAUGUAUCAGCUUUGGAUGCAACAAAACCAAGACAUUUCAAUUGUGAGCUCAACCUAGAGUACCAUGCUCUAGGAGACUGUUUCAGACCAUAAAGAGCUUUAUCAAGUUUGCAAACAUAGUGAGGUGUUUGUUUGUUUUCAUACCCUGGCGGUUGCCUCAUAUAGACCUCCUCUUCCACAACACCAUGCAAAAACGCAUUCUGAACAUCUAGCUGUCUGAGGCUCCAUCCCUUGGAAACUGCAAUGGCUAGCACAAGUCUUAUGGUAGCAGCUUUUACAACGGGACUAAAAGUAUCCUCAUAAUCAAUACCAUAACGUUGCUUAAAACCUUUCGCAACGAGACGUGCCUUGUACCUAUCAAUGGAGCCAUCUGCUUUCCUUUUGAUUCUAUAAACCCACUUGCAAUCAAUAAUAUUUUUUACCUCUUUGACUUGGUACCAAAUGCCAUGUCUUAUUCUUCAUAAGUGCACCGUACUCUUCAUCCAUAGCCUUUUUCCACUUAGCAUCUCCAAGUGCAUCACUCAAUAUGGUUGGUUCUCCUGAAAUACAUAGCAUGCCAUAUGGAACAGUACCAUCUUUUCUUAUUUUGGGAUUUUUAAUACCUUUUUGUAACCGGGUCAUAACCCUCGAAGUAGUGACGGGCUGUGAUUCUGGCUGCACAGGGAACUGCUCAAUAUGACCAGCCGCAGAAGAUCCAGAGGAUCCUUCCAAUUCUGCAGAUUGUGUAACUGCAGGCGAUCCUGUAGCCAUCGGUGUGGCCGAAACUGAAACACAGCCAUCCGCAGAAGAUCCCAUGCUUGCUGUUGGCUGCAUGCACACAGGCAGUCACGUCGCUGCUUUUGGCUGCAUGCGCGUGGGACGCCCGUUUUCCCAUGACGACGCGGACGACGCGGAGUGGCUCGCGCUCGCUGCCGCCUGGUCCGCCUGACCUGGCUGGCACCCUGAUGGCGCCCGAUCCAAGAGGGAUCCGCGCGUGUGAUCCAAGGAAAGCUGGCGCACUGGCGUGGCAGGCGCAGCCGGAUCUUCCUCGUGUUCCACGCCGGCUUCUUCUUCUCCAUUGACAUGAAAUAACAGAUCGUUGUGAGCCAAAUUUUCAUGAUUUUGAUCAUCUCAUGUGUUAUUUUCUCCGGGCACCUGCAUAGGCAUAAUACUAGGAGCAAGAAUAUUGUCAGAUUGGUUAGCACAAUUGUUAUCACCCCCUUGAUCAAAAUCUGGAAGGAGAAGAAUUUCUUUUCGAAGGAGAGCUCCGGCAUUAGGAUGAAGGGACUCGAAUGGAAAAACUGAUUCAUCAAAGACAACAUCUCUAGAUAUGUAAACCCUGCCAGUGGAGACAUAAAGACACUUGACUCCUUUGUGCAUAGGACUAUAGCCUAGAAAGACACAUUUUUUUGAACGAAACGCAAGCUUGCGUGUAUUGUAUGGCCUAAGAUUUGGCCAACAUGCACAGCCAAAAAUACGAAGAGAUGUGUAGUCUGGAGUAAUACCAAAAGUCGUGUUAUAGGAUUCUCAAAUUUGAUAACUUUGCUAGGACGAAUAUUGAUAAGAUAUGUGGCAGUAAGGAAAGCUUCAUCCCAAAAUUUGAGAGGCAUAGAUGCGUUGGCUAACAAUGAUAGUCCUACUUCAACAACAUGACGGUGUUUUCGUUCAGCAGAGCCAUUCUGUUGGUGAGCAUGGGGACAGGAAACAUGAUGUGAAGUUCCAAUCUUUUGAAAAAAGGAAUUAAGUUUCUCAUACUCACCACCCCAGUUGGUUUGCAUUGCAAGAAUUUUGGAGUUCAAUUGGCGUUCAACAAGAUUUUGGAAAUUGCUAAAUACUUGAAAAACAUCGGACCGUUUCUUUAGCAAAUAAAUCCAAGUGAACUUACUAUAAUCAUCAAUAAAGCUUACAUAGUAAGAAAAUCUACCAACUGAAGUAGGGGCUGGCCCCCACACAUCUGAAAAGAUAAGUUGCAGCGGAGCAGUGGAUACACUAGUAGAGAUGGGAUAAGGCAAUUGAUGACUUUUAGCUUGUUGACACGCAUGACAAACUGACUCAACACUAGACUCAUAAGGAAGUUUAUUUCUACUAAGGACAUGCUGAACAAUGGUUGAAGACGGAUGACCUAAACGACUAUGCCACUUUGCCGAAGAUGGUUUAGUGACACUCCAAGCUUGUUUAUUUGACCAUGAUGAAGAAGAUGAUGAUAUGAGUGGGUAGAGGCCUCCCUCGCACUUUCCUCUAAGAGUGACUCUCCUCGUUGCCAAAUCCUUGAUAACAAUGAACUGAAACAAGAUUCUUAGAUGCAUGAGGAACAUGUAAGACAUUAUUUAGAUGCAAGUUUUUCUCAGGGGUUUUAACAAUUGAGUUACCAAUGUGAGCAAUUUCCAUACCCGUUCCACUUGCCGUGUGCACUUGGUCACCUCCGUGGUAUCUUUCUCGCAUCGUCAACUUGUCAACUUCCCCUGUGAUAUGCUCGGUAGCACCAGAAUCUGCAUACCAAUUUGUGUCAAUCCCGUAGGAGUUGGUGAUGAGGUUGGCCUUCUUCUUUUCUUCACGGUCCUCAUCAUAGCGGUGCCAGCAGGCCCUUGCGCCUCCGGGGUGAUAUUUGUAGCAGAUUUGACACUCAGGAUAAUCCCCUUCAUGUUGUUGCUAUUGCUGUUGUGGAGGUUGACGUUGUUGGCGUUGCUGAUAGCCGCCUUGCUGAUAGCCACCUCCACCACCGCGAGAAGGAGAGGGGGAGGUACGAUCGCCGCCGCGGCCGCGCCCUCUACCGCGAGCCUGUCCGCGGCCUCUGUACAUGGCGUUUGCAGAUGAUCGAAAACUUGAUGGUCCGUCACCCAACAUCUCCAUCCUUUGAUCGAAAGCUGAAAUCUGAGAGAAAAGAUCAUCAACGGUGAUCAAAUUUUUUAUGGCGCCGACUGCUGCAACAAUGGGAUCAUAGUCCCGAUCAAGACCGGCGAGGAUGUAGUCGACCAUCUCGCCGUCGGUCACUGGACGACCAGCGGCUGCAAGCUCAUCUCCGAGACUCUUCAUCUUGGCAAUGAAAGAGUUGCUUGGCAUGUUUCCCUUCUUGGUGUUGGAGAUGGCAAUUCUCAGAUUGGUUAUCCGAGAUUGGGACUGCGCAACAAACAGUGUGGUAAGAGCAGUCCACAGAUCAUAAGUACUUUCCUUACCAAUGACCUGCGCCAAGAUUUCUGGGGUGAGCGAAUUCAACAGGUAGCUCAGAACCUGUUGAUCUUUCGCUAGCCACGGGCCAUACAGAGGAUUUUGCUCCAUGGUCGUGGUCUUGUCCGCCUUCGCGACCUCCACCGUGCUUGGUGGUGCGGCAUCUGUACCAUCGAGGAGGCCGGUUACUUGCGCGCCUCGCAGCGCUGGCAUCACCUGCGCUUUCCAGAGAAGGUAAUUCCCUCUUGCGAGCUUUUCUGAUGGAGGAGCUCCGAGGUUGAGGGCGACGGCGCUAGAACCAGCCAUGGCGAUAGGGUUUGGGUUUCUGUUCGCUGGAUAAAGAGAUCGCUAGAUGAUGGGAAGAGGCUAGGCUCUGUAUACCAUAUUAGAAUUGAUGAAGCGUUUCUACUCUCCCGAAGGAGAGCCGCGUAUGUAUAUUUAUUGAGGCAGAAAUCCUUGCCGUAGAGUACAAGAGAAGGGGAGACCGAACCGGUCAUUACAUCGAGGGAGAGAUAGAUACAGAUACGAGGGAGGAUAGUUAAGAUUACAUUGCGUGAAUAACUUAAACUCUAACACUACAGACUCUCUGUGCCAUAGCAUCACUAUAUGACCUCAGAAGAAGCAGUAAAUUGGACUACAGGAAGCAUACCACGGCCAUGAGGUGCAGCCCAUACACCACCUCAUAGCAAACAUCCGCCACCCCGUGGAUUCCUCAUGAAAUCAAACUAUGAGCUAACUGUGAGUAUCUUUUAUCUUAGCCUCAUCUCUGAGUAUAGAUAUAACAUGUACUACCUCAGCGUUGUCUUCCUGGUUAGGACAGAUCACCGCAUGAAACAUCACACAUGAUUAAUCAGUCAAAAAGGACUAUCCGAAAAUACACCAAAACAUUGUAGGAUUGGCUAAUAACUUUCUUUCACGGGCCGUGCAUUCCAUGAGAUAAAUCCAGAUUAUAGCACAAGAAACAAUCACAGGUUUCCAACUUCUAAGGGCAAGAUUACCAACUUUUAAGGGAUGGAAACCAUCAACAUCCUUGUCUAGGCUAAUGCCGCUAAGAAUAUUUUCCAUAUCCAUAUGCUGAUUUACACAAUAUCAUCAUAUAAAAAGAAAGCUUUAUGAUGCAUUAUACCAGCAAAACAUGGACAUAAAAAGAGUUGAAUCUUGACCAACAUAUACUGAAAACAAAAACUCAAAUCAAAUACAACAUUAUACCAGCAAGUAGCAUAGAUACACGUCAUUCUGUAGCUAAGAAUCAAUUAGAGAGAGAGAGAGAGAGAGUUGUUUUCAGUGCAUCAAAAGAGGAACUUUUGGUGGCUGCUCUCCAUCAAAUACCAAUGGAAUCUCAAUACUAAUUUGAGAAGGGAGAGGAACUUACAGUGGCUGCUCUGCAUCAAAUGUGUCGAUGCAGCACAUGUUUUUCAUCUUACCUAGGGACUUGUCCCAUCGGCUGCCGUCCAACAGCAGCAGUAGCACUACCGGAGCAAGCUACCACCGGGCCUCCAACCCAGCCCCGCAGGAUCUCGCCGCCCCUUCCUGAAGACUCCUUCCAUUCCUUCUUCCUCCCGGCUUUCUCUCAUCUCUCUCUGGCAGCACUCAAGAGAGCUGCUGCAGGAGACGGGCACCACCAGGAAAUCCCUGCCUCUUCUCGCGCCCUCUCCUCCCUGCCUCUCCUUCCUUUCUAUAUCUCCCUCCCCUGUGUCUCUCUCAGGUGCAGCGCCACCAUAUCCAUGGAGAUACUCCGCCAGAGCUCCCCAUCUCGGUCGGAACCGGCGAGGAACGCCGCCGCCAUGAACUUCGGGUUCGAACCCCGCCGCCUGACUGUCAUGUCCUUGGUCCAUGACUUGUACCAGCAUGUGUCCGUGUGUGGGUUCGGUGUAUAGGAAUGGGGCCCAGAGGGCAGUGUGUGUGAGAACGGCUUUAAAGGCCAGGACCUUGUGCUUCGAGGGGCAAUGUAUGUUCUAAAUCCCCAUCUCGUGUUCUUCUGUUGCUCAUCCCCUUUCUCUGAUUUCUCAUCCCCAAUUCCCCAAAUUACUCUAAAGCUACCCAGAUGCCGAGCUGAUUUGUGCGAUCUCGAUCCCUCAACGAUCGGGUCGUGACAAUUUGGUAAUCAGAGCCAGUUGAUCCACCCAAAAAAAAAUCAUUGCCCCGUGAUUUGUUUGUCCGCUCGAUCGGUAAAAUCCAUCGCGUCCGGUGCGGCUUCAUCCGAGAGGCCGCUCGAAAUCCGCCGCGGGGUUCGAUCCUCGGCAACAAUCGUGACGGCGUCGUCCCAAUCAUCUGCCCAGACCACCACUUCCGCUCUGCCAUGGCCGCGAACACCGGCGAACUGAAGGCGCUGCUUGAGUCCCUCCUCAUCAGGUUCGAUGAGACAAAAGCCACCGACGACAAGCGCCUACGAGCAGAGCUCCGCCAUGAUCCGUGGAAAGAUUUAGAUCCCACUCAGUCGGCUGUGGACGAUGUCCGCAAGGCGCGUGACACCUCGAUGGCCUCCGCAACCUCCCCUGCAGGCUCGCCCGCGUCGGAUCUGGCACGUUCACCUGCGGCAGAGCUACCACUCCACCCUCACCAGGGGUCCACCUCAUAUGCGCGGCUAGCGACUGACUUGCCCGCGCUCCUUCCGACUCGUCCUGCAAUCACCACUCCAGUUCCUAUCUACCACCUGUUCGACCAAAUGCCUGAGAGUGAGUUUCACCUGUGCAUGUGCUCACUGCUCGAGCUGACGCAGAUGGGAACCGUGGCUGAGUACACGGCUAUGUUUUGGGAGCGUCUACACCAUGUGCUGCAUCUCAACCCCAGCCUAACAAGCAAGUGCUUCAUUCACCAGUACAUUGAGGGCUUGCACAAGAAUAUUCAAGCAGCCGUGAAGUCGAAAUCGCCGUCUAGUAUCACCAGAGCAUCGUGCCUUGCUCGUAUAAGGGAGGAAGAGAUCAUGAAGGAUGAGGCGAUGGGUGUCGAGGAGCGUGGCGGUAGCUACGACCAUGGGGUACACAGUCGCAUGCCUACUGAGGCCAUCAACAUCGUCUCCCCUGAGCUAACUACCAGAGUGAUGUGCAGUGCAGACUGCGGCGUCGACGGCAAUAGUUUUGCUGCUGCGACACCGACCAUGGUGCUCGACACAAACCACAACACCGACAUCAUCGACGAGAAGUACCUGGCUGCUCCGACACCUACGACCCAUUUGACAAAUGGCCUGGGCCAGGUUGUUGACAUGCCAGUCUCAGCGUCCCCAACCACCACUACCCUGAGGUCUUCACUGGGUCCAGCGGUUGAACUGACGCUCAUUCGGAAUUCUGCGGCACCUACAACAAACUUGUCCACAUCUCUGGCUGCAGAUGUGAACCACAGUGUCAGUCUCGACACCAUCAGCCAUUAUGUAACAAAGGUUCCCCUUGCCAUGGAGGAUGAUCUCAGGCCUGAUCGUAGGUGUGCGUACGCCUCUGCCUGGAGCUGGAAUGGUGAGAUCAUGGUGGGCGCCAUGCUUUCAAUGCUGCUGUUCGGCGACCACCAAGCCAAUGCNNNNNNNNNNNNNNNNNNNNNNNNNNNNNNNNNNNNNNNNNNNNNNNNNNNNNNNNNNNNNNNNNNNNNNNNNNNNNNNNNNNNNNNNNNNNNNNNNNNNNNNNNNNNNNNNNNNNNNNNNNNNNNNNNNNNNNNNNNNNNNNNNNNNNNNNNNNNNNNNNNNNNNNNNNNNNNNNNNNNNNNNNNNNNNNNNNNNNNNNNNNNNNNNNNNNNNNNNNNNNNNNNNNNNNNNNNNNNNNNNNNNNNNNNNNNNNNNNNNNNNNNNNNNNNNNNNNNNNNNNNNNNNNNNNNNNNNNNNNNNNNNNNNNNNNNNNNNNNNNNNNNNNNNNNNNNNNNNNNNNNNNNNNNNNNNNNNNNNNNNNNNNNNNNNNNNNNNNNNNNNNNNNNNNNNNNNNNNNNNNNNNNNNNNNNNNNNNNNNNNNNNNNNNUGCAGUGUUACCGUGUUCACUGUCAAUGAAGGUGGUCGCACCCCAACCAUGGUCGCCACCUCCGCAAGUGGAGCCCUGUGCCCAGGGAGUUGGCCAGCCGUCAUGGCCGCCACCAGAAACAUGCACUGUGUUGUUGUUGUCAGGGAAUGAUUUUAUUAUGCCACUGAUUGAGUUUAAGCCAUGGCCGGAUCCUCGACAUAGUCAAGGUAGUGCAAGGGUGGUGAACAAACUGCAGCAUUAUGGAUUUUGGAUGUCUAACCUGCUUCGGGUAUUACCUUGGAGGAUGGUUGGGGCAAAUAAUCUCUUGAACAAUUACACUGAAAAACAAUAGAUGGGGGUUGUCCUUGAGCUUCACCGAGUCGCAACUAGGUGUUAUUCAAAUGUUGUAUACUUGGAACUGAUGGUUCUGAAGCUGUAUGGCAUGGUAAGUGGCAGCCCGAACACAACACCAAGAACAUGGGAUCCUGGAAUUCUAAAGGUUGUUCAUAUGGUUUCCUCGUUCCCUAUUUGCCGGGUUAUGCACAUGGUCCAAUUGUUCAACCAUGAUAGUGCAGCUUUUGCAUUCCUUGGAUUGGAGCAUUUAACCGUACUGGACAAGGGACAUUCCACCUUGAUUUCAACGACUGCAGCGAUCGUCACUUGUUUUUCUUCUUCAACCUUCAAAUACAAGUGGGAGUGUUGUGUCAGACGACAGUGGGACCCUGGUAUUUUCCUGAACAGUGUUAGAAUUGUGGCCUACAGUAGUAGCACACUAGCUAAGAAAUAUUGCAAAAAACUACUCUGCUUCCUGCACACAACGUUCCCAGCUCAUGCUUUUGCCAAGCUACUUAAUUUUUGGUCUAGGGUGCUGUUGUUUAUUUUGCUUGUGCCAAACCUUUAUCCAGGGCAGCAAUGUGAGCAUGUUCUUGGUACCCCUGAUGGCCGAGUGUUUAUUCAAGGCAAAGUAUUUGGACUACUGCAGUUCUUAAAAACACCACCGGCUAUAUCAAUGGUGUACUGGUGGCAGGCAGUUCACGGGAUGCUUUCAUUACAAGGAUACAAUGCUCUAUAUCCCUUGCUUAUUUUGACUGCCCAUAUUCAACUUAAUCUGCAGCCCAGUUUGCUUACAGGAAGCACAAUGACUCUCCAUGGGUUUUCUCAUUCCUAUAAAUACAAUCAAUCUUCAUUUACUAUUCAACGAAGCUGUCUUAUAGUCCUCUUAGCACCUGAGUUACAAAAACGGUAUACAGGUUCAGAGGUUCACUUGUACCAUCAGACCAAGCAAGGGAUUUGUUUGGCCUGCUUGCCACCAGGUAAUUCUCCUCUACGGCGGACAACUUGCUGUUGGAUAACUGAAUUACGCAUUGCUUCAGUGUAUGCUUGUGGGAAAGAUAUGCUACAAUUAUUAUUGGAACUUAAUACCAGUGAGCACCGGUUUCAUGGCAUUUGGAGCAUCUUCACACAAACUAGCACUAGUUGCAGGGUUGCAAGUGAAGCAUUGGAAUGCCAAGAUGAUAAAUUGGAAACGUACUACAUUCCAAGUGAUCUCCUAUUCGGGUACGCUCCAGCUAGUACCUGCUACAUUCUUGCUCAUUCUGUUUGUGUAUGCCAAAAGGAUAUGCUGGAAACUCACUACUUUCACGAGAUCACACAAUAUUAUUCCAUGAAGUUUGUGCCACCGCUUUCAGUACAGUCUGAUGGUCUUGGAAUUAUACUGGUAUAUUUACAUUCAACUUUACUUGGCCAAUUGCUUUUGGACCACUAUCACUGCACCCCGAACUUAGCCUUGCAAAGUGAUGCCUUCAUACUGUUUACAUGGUCGAGCACAACAAUUUCUACUAUAAAAUCAGCGUGGUGGUUUCGCUUCAUGGCCUGGAAGAUACAUCAAGGAGGUCGUAUUACUGCUACGAGCUAUCCCGUGAAGACGUCCCUACAGUUGCAGUACGAGUUACUAUGGCGACAACCAUGUAUUGUGCUUGAGGACAAGCAGAAUCUCAAGGGAGGGAGAGUGUCAUGUCCUUGGUCCAUGACUUGUACCAGCAUGUGUCCGUGUGUGGGUUCGGUGUAUUGGAAUGGGGCCCAAAGGGCAAUGUGUGUGAGAACGACUUUAAAGGCCAGGACCUUGUGCUUCGAGGGGCAUGUUGAUGAAUGUAUGUUCUGAAUCCCCAUCUCGUGUUCCUCUGUUGCUCAUCCCCUUUCUCUGAUUUCUCAUCCCCAAUUCCCCAAAUUACUCUAAAGCUACCCAGAUGCCGAGCUGAUUUGUGCGAUCUUGAUCCCUCAACGAUCGGGUCAUGACACUGACCUCCUCCCACGCCUCGUAGAUCGCCUCUAUGCCGUCCCCCGAACAGGAUCCGACCCCUACCUCGAUUCCUCGAUCGGAUCUGGCCGGAGAUCGCUGCUGCCGCGCCCAGCAUUGUCUGCAUCGCGACCCCCUUUCGUUUGGAACCAGCGAGGAGCGCCCUGACUCAUGAGGAAAGAGAUGUUGAGGGACUACGGGCUGAUGAUGUAAAAUAUGAGGUGUUUUUCUAAAAAACAUGCUGAGCGAAGCAUUAUUCACUUAAUCGUGGAACUGUGGGUUGAUUCUUAAACACCACAGGGGCCUUUGUGUAAAAACGUCGCGAUGGUGAACCUGGAGACUCAAUCCGUGCUUUAUUAUUAGGGAGAGAUAAAGGCAUAACCCAAACAUAGUACAUGGAGGAACGAUACAAGAUAGUGAGGCAACCCACUUACAAAGUAGAUCCCAGGCUACCUAAGACGCGUAGAAGGCAAGCGACUACGCUACUGAAGGAGAACACCAGAGAAACUGAGAACAACCCCACGCAAAGCCUUAGGACACCUAAGCUCCUCGACAAUGCCCUCCAGAGGGGGAUGGCGCAAAGCGUCGUCGCUUCCUAGCCACAUCGGGCUAGGGUCUUCACCCGGAACUCGGACUCGGAGAGGAGAUCCAUGACGACGUAUUCAAGAAGAGAGUGGCGCACGCGAGCGUUGCCAUCGCCAAUGCAAAAGCGCGGAGCUUUCUCUCAACACCACACCCUUGUCACCACGAGGUCCCUAGGGCAAGCGCGAGGUGCCUAGGCCCCAGAUCCAGAUUUGGGUGACGUCAAACUUAGGAUGCACCCGAGCCACCAUUUGAUUCCCUCCCGACGCCCACAAGCCCGAGAAGGCAGCCGCCGCCGCCGCCAUGGUUCCCGCCAGAGAGCCAGCCAUGCGACCGGCCAUCCAGAGCCGCCGCCUAGAUAUCCAUGUCCAAGACAUCACCCACCGCCCAUAGCACAAUGUACCAACGAUGAUAGGAGGAGUAGAAGACGGAAACUUCCACUCCUAGACCGGCAUCAAACAUAGAGUUUGGCAAUCACAUCCCCGGCAACGGCGCCAGAAAAGACCUUGAUGUCUACUAUGCAACCUUCUUCUUGUAGACUCGUGUUGGGCCUCCAAGCGCAGAGUUUUGUAGGACAGUACCAAAUUUUCCUCAAGUGGAGGACCUAAGGUUUAUCAAUCCGUGGGUGGCGUAGGAUGAAGAUGGUCUCUCUCAAACAACAGUGCAACCAAAUAACAAAGAGCCUCUUGUGUCCCCAACACACCCAAUACAAUGGUAAAUUGUAUAGGUGCACUAUACCUCGAAGAGAUGGUGCCACAAGUGUAAUAUGGAUGGUAGAUAUAGAUUUUUGUAAUCUGAAAAUAUAAAAACUGCAAGCUAACUAGUAACAAAAGUCAGCGAAAAUGGUACUGCAAUGCUUCGAAAAAAGGCCUAGGGUUCAUACUUUCACUAGUGCAAAUUCUCUCAACAAUUAUAACAUAAUUGUAUCAUAUAACAAUCCAUUAACGUGCAAUCAAGAAUCACUCCAAAGUGCCAAUGGCGGAGAACAUAAGAUGAAAUUGGUUGUAGGAUACAAAACCACCUCAAAGUUAUUCUUUCCGAUCAAUCCAUUGAGCUAUUCCUAUAAGUGUCACAAACAACCCUAGAGUUCGUGGUAAAAUAACACCAUAUGACACACAUCAAUCAACCCUAAUGUCACCUAGAUACUCCAAUGUCUUAUACGAUAUGCAUCAAACAACUUCAGAUUCAUAAUAUUCAAUCCAACACAAAGAACUUCAUGAGCAUUCCGAGAUUUCUACCGGAAAAAGGAAUAUGAAAACAUGCAUCAACCCCUAUGCAUCCAUUACCCAAUGUCACCACGGGAAUCCGCAAGUUGAUAACCAAAACACACACCAACUGAAUCAACAGAACAUCCCAUUGUCACCACAGAUAUCCCAUCGCAAGACAUACAUCAAGUGCUCUCACAUCCAAAGAUUCAAUCCGACAUAACAAAACCUCAAAGGAAAAGACUCAAUUCAUCACAAGGUAGAGAGGAAGAAACAUCAUAUGAUCCAACUAUAAUAGCAGAGCUCGUGGUACAUCAAGAUUGUGCCGAAUCAAGAACAUGAGAGAGAGAGAGAGAGAUCAAACACAUAGCUACUGGUACAUACCCUCAAUCCCGAGGGUGAACUACUCCCUCCUCGUCAUGGAGACCGCCGGGGUGAUGAAGAUGACCAUCAGUGAUGGUUUCCCCCUCCGGCAGGGUGCCGGAACGGGCUCCUGAUUGGUUUUUGAGGCUAUAGAGGCUUGCGGCGGCGGAACUCCCGAUCUAGGUUUAUUUCUGGAGGUUUUGGGAUUUAUAGGAGGUGUUGGCGUCGGGGACAAGUCAAGGAGGCCCACGAGGCGACGACAAGGCAGGGAGGCGCACCCUAGGGGGCGCCCUCCACCCUUGUGGUGGCCUCGGGACUCUUUUCCGAUAUCUUUUCGUUCCAGUAUUUUUUAUAUUUUUCAAAAAUAUUCUCCAUAAAUUUUCAGCUCGUUCCGAGAACUUUUAUUUCUGCAUAAAAAACGACACCACGGUAGUUCUGCUGAAAACAAUGUCAGCCCGGGUUAGUUCUAAUCAAAUCAUAUCAAAAUCAUAUAAAAUCAUUGUAAACAUGGCACGAAUACUUCAUAAAUUAUAGAUACGUUGGAGACGUAUCAGCAUCCCCAUGCUUAAUUCCUGCUCAUCCUUGAGUAGGUAAUGGUAAAAGAAAUAAUUUAUGAAGUGUGAAUGCUAGCAAGUGCACAAGUUUGAUUAAUGAUAAUUUCAAUCACUUUUUCUAGCAUCAUUAUUUAUCAUAACAGUAGCUCAUAUCAUAAAGCUUCUCAUGAUCAAGUAAUAAGCUAUUCACAUGUUAAAGCAUAGACCAUAAACUUUCUUCAAAACUAACAGACUAUAUUCUCAAUCAUCAAACAAUUGCAAUUCAUAUUAUUUUCAGGAAGGAUCUAUGUAAGUGAUUUGAUUUAGCAAAUCCCACAUACUCAACUAUCAUAUAGUCUUCCAUGAUUGCUACCAGUCAUAUUUUUAGAAUAAAUAGCAUCCAUUGAACACAGAGAAAGACAGGGGCUUAAUGUUUCGCCUCCUAACUUAUUUAUCAUAUAGAUAAUUGUCAAAAUAAUUCAUGAUGAAAUUAUUUAAAUGGCCAUAUAUGCUUAGAUCUUUCCCCACCACAUGUUGCUUGGCAACUAAAGAGUAGGUUGGAAUGAGAAGGAAUACUACUGUCUCUUGCAUAAAAGUAAAAGAUAGGCCCUUCGUAGAGGGAAGCAGGUAUUUGCAGAGGUGCCAGAGCUUGAAGCUUUUAAAACAGAGAUGAAAAUAAUUUUGAGAGAUAUUCUUUCAUUGUCAACAUAACAACCAAGAGUUCUCACUAUCUUCUAUGCUAGACAUAUUAUAGGCGGUUCCCAAAUAGAAUGGGAAAGUCUCCCCCGCCACUAACAAGCACAUUCCACGACUGGUCCGAAACAACGGGUACCGUCCAACUAUCAACAAUCCUAGGGGAGUUUUAUUUGCAAUUAUAUUUGACUUGAUUUGAGCAUGGAACUAGGCAUCCCGGUUGCCAGCCAUUUUCUCGUGAAUGAUGAGCGGAGUCCACUCAUUGUGGGAAUAACCCACCUAGCAUGGAAGAUACUGACAGACUCUAGUCGCUACAUGAGUGAUUCGGGCAUAUAAAACAGAUUAUUAUUUGAAGGUUUAGAGUUUGGCACAUGCAAAUUUACUUGAAAUGGAAGGUAAGUACCGCAUAUAGGUAUAUAUGGUGGACACUCAUGGAAGAAACUUGGUUCAAGGGUUUUAGGAUGCACAAGUAGUAUCUCUACUUAGUACAGAAAUUUUGGCAAGCAAAAGAUUCUAAAAAGCAAGCACCACAUGUUGGGGGAUCCAUAACAAUAUAACUUCUAAUUAAGUUGUCUUCCUUGUCCAACUUCACUAAUUUGAUCACGUUUGAAAAUAAUUAAUGGGGCUCACAAUGAUAGAAGAUGUCCAAGAUAGUAUAUUUAUAUGUGAAAUCUCUCUUCCUUCAAUAUUAUUGUAUGAAUUGUUCAAGUGACCAAUACCGUGUUUGCUAACUUUCAGUAAAUUUACCACCUCUACUUCUUACAUGUGAAGUCAUUAUUCCCCAUGGUAUAAGCAUAUGAAACAUAUAUAAAUUCAGAUUUAUGAUAUUCAGUUCAUUCAACCAUUUACUCAUGGGAUAUAAGUGAAGCAUGAGAGUAAAGGACAAACUACUCCAAAAAGAUACAAGUGAAGAUCAAUGAGUAGUCAAAUAAGCUAUGUGAGAACUCUCUCUUAUUUAAAAAUUUCAGAUCUAAUGUUUUAUUCAAACAGCAAGCAAAUCCUAAUAAAAUAAAAUGAUGCUCCAAGCAAAACACAUAUCAUGUGAUGAAUAAAAAUAUAGCUCCAAGUAAAGUUACCGAUGAAUGAAGACGAAAAAGGGGAUGCCAUCCAGGGCAUCCCCAAGCUUAGGCUCUUGGUUGUCCUUGAAUAUUACCUUGGGGUUCCUUGGGCAUCCCCAAGCUUAGGCUCUUGCCACUCCUUAUUCCAUAGUCCGUCGAAUCUUUACCCAAAACUUGCAAACUUCACAACAGAAAACUCAACAGAAAACUCGUAAGCUCCGUUAGUAUAAGAAAAUAAAAUCACCACUUAGGUACUGUUGUGAACUCAAUCCAAUUUUAUAUUGGUGUUAUAUCUACUGUAUUCCAACUUCUCCAUGUUCAUACCCUCCGAUGCUACUCAUAGAUUCAUCAAAAUAAGCAAACAACACAAUGAAAACAGAAUCUGUCAGAAACAAAACCGUUUGUAGUAAUCUAGCAACUUCCUAUACUUGUAUAAGUCAAAAACUUCUGAAAAAUUAGGACAACGUAUACAAUUUGUAUAUCAAUCAUGUGUCAAAAAUUCAGAUCAAAAGCACGUUCCAGUGAAUUUUCAAAAUUCCUGGACUGAAAGCAAAAGGUUCUGUUUUUGCAUAGAAUCAAGUCAACUAUCAUCGACACUAUCCCAAAGGCUUUACUUGGCACUUUAUUGAAACAAAAGCUAUAAAAAAUGAUUACUACAGUAGCAUAACCAUGUGAACACACAAAAACAGUAGGGAUAAAUGUUGGGUUGUCUCCCAACAAACACUUUUCUUU
rnacentral:lncRNA from 1 species